UACGAAGGGUGCAAGCGUUAAUCGGAAUUACUGGGCGUAAAGCGUGCGUAGGCGGUUGCUUAAGUCAGAUGUGAAAGCCCUGGGCUCAACCUGGGAAUGGCAUUUGAAACUGGGCAGCUAGAGUGUGAUAGAGGAUGGCGGAAUUCCCGGUGUAGCGGUGAAAUGCGUAGAGAUCGGGAGGAACAUCCGUGGCGAAGGCGGCCAUCUGGAUCAACACUGACGCUGAGGAGCGAAAGCCAGGGGAGCAAACGGG
rnacentral:rRNA from 1 species